rnacentral:rRNA from 1 species
UUGGUCAAUGGCCGAAAGGCUGAACCAGUAACUUGGAAGAAUGUCUAUGUAUUGUAUAGAUACAUUCGCGAUUAACUCGCAUAAAAUUCUAAAUAGAUUGUAUAUAAUGACAUAAUCUAUUUAUAAGUCUUGACCAAACUACGUGCCAGCAGUCGCGGUAAUACGUAGGAGGCUAGUGUUAGUUAUCUUUAUUGGGUUUAAAGGGUAAGUAGACGGUAAAUUAAACUCUAAACGAGUACUUUUUUACUUGAGUUAUAUGAGAGAAGGAAGAAUUUCUGGAGUAGAGAUAAAAUUUGAUGAUACCAGGAGGACUGUCAACGGCGAAGGCGUCCUUCUAUGUAAUAACUGACGUUGAGAGACGAAGGCUUGGGUAGCAAACAGGAUUAGAUACCCUAAUAGUCCAAGCAGACAAUGAUGAAUGUCAUACAUUAGAUAUAAAUUUAAUGUAUAAACGAAAGUGUAAGCAUUCCACCUCAAGAGUACUAUGGCAACAUAUAAACUGAAAUCAUUAGACCGUUUCUAAAACCAGUAGUGAAGUAU